CACAUCAUGUUGAAACAACGGUUCCCGUACGAUCAUCGAAGUUAAGCAACUUCAAGCCUUAUCAGUACCUAGAUGGGUAACCACUUGGCAAUAACAAGGGCUGUGU